rnacentral:rRNA from 1 species
UAUUCCUACAUAGCAGGUGGGACCACGGUAAAUCGAUCAUAAAGUCUUCAAAAAAGAAUAUAUACGAUUGCAUUGCAUGUAGUAACGGAUGCGAUCAUACCAGCACUAAUGCACCAGAUCCCAUCAAAACUCCGCAGUUAAGCGUGCUUGGGCGAGAGUAAUACUAGGAUGGAUGACCUCCAGGAAAGUCCUCGUGUUGCAUCCCUCUUUUU